rnacentral:lncRNA from 1 species
AAACCAAGACACUAUUAGAUGACUGCAAUUUCAGAUGACCGAUAACAUUUAAAAAAUUCAAGUCUUACAUAGAAAUUAAAUAGAUAUAAAUGAGCCAAUAUCAUCUAAACCUACCAAAAUUAAUGUAGUAAAUGCUAUUAAAUAUUCAACACACAAAAACAAUCUAGGGUUACAAAAAGAAAGGGGAGGAGAAGCCGGUAAAAAAAAAUGGUUGACUUCACUUGUAAUUUUAUUAGGAUGCUCUCAACAAGUCUUACCAGACCGGCUACAGCAACAUUAUUAUAUUUAUUUAUAUUUAAUUAUUUACUCUUAUUAAAAAAUAAUAAUUAAUUGUCUUCUGGCUAGAUCAUGCAUGUGACCUGAGCUUAAUAUUAAGAGAAAUGAAAUAUUAUAAAUAUUUAAUUGUCAUCCAUGUAUAUAUAUGAUCUGUUCUAAUUGUCAUCCAUAUAUGCAUGUGACCUAUGUAAUUGUCAAAAUAAAUAUUAUCAAUGCUUAUGUUUAAUUUAAUGUUGAACUCUUUUUUUUAAUUCAUUUCAUUGCAUACACAUAGG